rnacentral:tRNA from 3 species
CGGGGUGUAGCUCAGGCUGGUUAGAGUGCUUGGUUUGGGACCAAGAAGUCGUAGGUUCGAAUCCUAUCACCCCGACAA